GUCAUUUCAAGGUCAUUCAUUUGAAGGUCAAGGUCACUGUGACCUUGAAUGUAAAAAUGUUAAAGUUCUUAUUUCAUGGUAUAACUUUGGUAUGCUUGGACCUAGAGUCUUCAAACUUGACAUGAAGGUUGGCCAGGAUUAACAGAUGACCACUGGUCAUUUCAAGGUCAUUCAUUUGAAGGUCAAGGUCACUGUGACCUUCAAUAUAAAAAAUGUUAAAGUUGUUAUAACUUUGGUAUGCUUGGACCUAGAGUCUUGAAACUUGACAUGAAGGUUGGCCAUAACUAGUUAGUAACCACUGGUCAUUUCAAGGUCAUUCAUUUGAAGGUCAAGGUCACUGUGACCUUGAAUGUAAAAAUGUUAAAGUUCUUAUUUCAUGUUAUAACUUUGGUAUGCUUGUACCUAGAGUCUUCAAACUUGAAAUAAAGAUUGGCCAGUACUAGAAGAUGACCACUGGUCAUUUCAAGGUCAUUCAUUUGAAGGUCAAGGUCACUGUGACCUUGAAUGUAAAAAUGUUAAAGUUCUUAUUUCAUGGUAUAACUUUGGUAUGCUUGGACCUAGAGUCUUCAAACUUGACAUGAAGGUUGGCCAGGAUUAACAGAUGACCACUGGUCAUUUCAAGGUCAUUCAUUUGAAGGUCAAGGUCACUGUGACCUUGAAUGUAAAAAUGUUAAAGUUCUUAUUUCAUGGUAUAACUUUGGUAUGCUUGGACCUAGAGUCUUCAAACUUGACAUGAAGGUUGGCCAGGAUUAACAGAUGACCACUGGUCAUUUCAAGGUCAUUCAUUUGAAGGUGAAGGUCACUGUGACCUUCAAUAUAAAAAUGUUAAAGUUGUUAUAACUUUGGUAUGCUUGGACCUAGAGUCUUGAAACUUGACAUGAAGGUUGGCCAGAACUAGUAAGUAACCACUGGACAUUUCAAGGUCAUUCAUUUGAAGGUCAAGGUCACUGUGACCUUGAAUGUAAAAAUGUUAAAGUUCUUAUUUCAUGUUAUAACUUUGGUAUGCUUGUACCUAGAGUCUUCAAACUUGAAAUAAAGAUUGGCCAGUACUAGAAGAUGACCACUGGUCAUUUCAAUGUCAUUCAU